UGGAAAAUGGUUAAUAUUCCAUUACUUCUGUGUAAUGCGAUGAGAGGACGGAGAAGGCUAAAUCAGCCUGGCGUUGGUUGUCCAGGUGAAAGGAUGUAGGCAUGUAUCUUAGGCAAAUCCGGGGUACUCUAUGCUGAGAUCUGAUAGCAAGCUGUACUUGUAUAGCGAAGUGGUUGAUGCCAUGCUUCCAGGAAAAGUCUCUAAGCUUCAGUUACACAGGAAUCGUACCCGAAACCGACACAGGUGGUCAGGUCGAGUAGACCAAGGCGCUUGAGAGAACUCUGCUGAAGGAACUAGGCAAAAUGGUACCGUAACUUCGGGAGAAGGUACGCUGUUGUUGGUGAUGGAACUCGCUUCCUGAGCUGACGACAGCCGCAGAAACCAGGCCGCUGCAACUGUUUAUUAAAAACAUAGCACUCUGCAAACACGAAAGUGGACGUAUAGGGUGUGAUGCCUGCCCGGUGCUGGAAGGUUAAUUGAUGGGGUUAGCGUAAGCGAAGCUCUUGAUCGAAGCCCCAGUAAACGGCGGCCGUAACUAUAACGGUCCUAAGGUAGCGAAAUUCCUUGUCGGGUAAGUUCCGACCUGCACGAAUGGCAUAAUGAUGGCGGCGCUGUCUCCAGCAGAGGCUCAGUGAAAUCGAAAUCGCUGUGAAGAUGCAGUGUACCCGCGGCUAGACGGAAAGACCCCGUGAACCUUUACUGCAGCUUGACACUGAACUUUGACCUUACUUGUGUAGGAUAGGUGGGAGGCUUUGAAGCUGGAACGCUAGUUCCAGUGGAGCCGUCCUUGAAAUACCACCCUGGUAAUGUUGAGGUUCUAACUCUGUCCCGUGAUCCGGGACGAGGACCGUGUCUGGUGGGUAGUUUGACUGGGGCGGUCUCCUCCUAAAGAGUAACGGAGGAGUACGAAGGUGCGCUCAGCGUGGUCGGAAAUCACGCGUAGAGUAUAAAGGCAAAAGCGCGCUUAACUGCGAGACCCACAAGUCGAGCAGGUACGAAAGUAGGUCUUAGUGAUCCUGUGGUUCUGUAUGGAAGGGCCAUCGCUCAACGGAUAAAAGGUACUCUGGGGAUAACAGGCUGAUACCGCCCAAGAGUUCAUAUCGACGGCGGUGUUUGGCACCUCGAUGUCGGCUCAUCUCAUCCUGGGGCUGAAGCAGGUCCCAAGGGUAUGGCUGUUCGCCAUUUAAAGAGGUACGCGAGCUGGGUUUAGAACGUCGUGAGACAGUUCGGUCCCUAUCUACCGUGGGCGCUGGAAAUUUGAGAGGAUCUGCUCCUAGUACGAGAGGACCAGAGUGGACGAACCUCUGGUGUACCGGUUGUGACGCCAGUCGCAUCGCCGGGUAGCUAUGUUCGGAAGGGAUAACCGCUGAAAGCAUCUAAGCGGGAAGCCUACCUCAAGAUAAGAUUUCCCUAGGACUUUAUGUCCUCUAAAGAGCCGUUCGAGACUAGGACGUUGAUAGGUUGGAUC
rnacentral:rRNA from 1 species